AAUGAACGCUGGCGGCGCGCCUAAUACAUGCAAGUCGAGCGAGAAGACGUAGCAAUACGUUUGUAAAGCGGCGAACGGGUGAGGAAUACAUGGGUAACCUACCCUCGAGUGGGGAAUAACUAGCCGAAGGUUAGCUAAUACCGCGUACGCUUCUUGGACUUCGGUUCAGGGAGGGAAAGACGAUACCGUGGGUAGUCGCGCUCUUGGAUGGGCUCAUGUCCUAUCAGCUUGUUGGUGAGGUAACGGCUCACCAAGGCUUCGACGGGUAGGCUGGUCUGAGAGGACGAUCAGCCACACUGGCACUGCGACACGGGCCAGACUCCUACGGGAGGCAGCAGUAAGGAAUAUU
rnacentral:rRNA from 1 species